ACUAAUAUUUCGAGAGAAGCCAAACAAGUUCGGGGAGGAUCUGUUUUCUCAAUCUGUGAAAAACCCUUUAUUGUUGAUCUACCCAAACAUUAUGAACCAUAUAUACUCAAGUGAAAAUACUUGUUAAAGAUGCUGAGGAAUUCAUUCCGAAGAAUCAUUGAAAAAUCCAAACUGUAACAUUUCAGUAAUCGUACGGAAAGUUUAGCCAAGAUACUGUUAUGCGUUACGAUUUUGUUGCGUGCCACACAUCAUUUUGUAGCGUAACACAACAUCCAUACGCAAAUAUAUUUGUGUGAAAUGAACGAUUAAUACCUAUUGUUUCGCGGUACGAUUUGAGGCUCUUUGUGCCACAUUAAGUUAGAUCAAGUCUCUUUACAAAUUGACCUCCGAGUGGAACAGUCAAAGUUUAAGAAUAGUUUUCCAUAUAAUUCUCGAGAUAAAUCGACGUGUGUGCGAGUAGCAGACUUGAAAAAAAAGUGUUCCACACAUCAUUUAGUUCUCUUUUGAAAAGAGUUGAGUCGCGAUUGAUAAAAUUGAACAAACUCAGGCUAUAACCUUCAAACGAAGGUUUUUUUUUGGUUCUCCUUUAUUUUUCUCUGAUGUAACCAGAUAGAUUUCCACGUGUAAUCAAAGCCAUCUUCCCUGAGGGCCCCAGCCAAAAGCCCUGAGUCAGUGGACGACUCUUUCCACGGUUGUUUAUCGGGUCACCGCGUAUUCAAGGUUGCAGACAUUCGUCGCCUAUUCAAAGGAGCAGAAAUUCGUCGCCUAUCCAGAGGACCAGAAAUCCUUCACCUGGAAUGUUCACAAUCAUCACGUAACCAACAUUGUGAUCAACAACUUGCGACCAUCGUCAGCAAUCAUCAUUGCGUAUCGAUAAUAUCACCCUGCUGUGAACGCCUAACCAACAGGAAGUGACCGUUCAUCACCGACCAUCACCAUCUCGAGUCAUCUGUGGACUUCUCGUCGCACACCUACUACGCACACUACAGCAAUCGACCCGACAUCGCAGAGCGCUCUGUUAAUUGGCCAUCAUGACGCCUAAAACCAACACCAACAACGCCACCUGGUUGUCAGCAGUAAAGAAAGGUUAGCCUUAUUUGAAUUUGUUCGUCCUAUUAUAUUAAAUGCACACAUAUUUCGAUUAAAUAUGAAUUAUUGAAUUAUCCGUUGAACCAAAUUAUUAAAGAUGGAUUUUGAGUAUAGAAUCACUUGAGUUUUCGGUUUCGUUAAGUUUCGGCAUGAUUGGCCACCAGUGUGGGAAUUAAUCGUUUAGGUAAGCCUUUGAGUUGUGCUAGAAGUGGUUUUGCGUCCACUUAACCUGCCCUGAGAGGGUCGUUGGGGCUUAAGCGGAGUGGUUUAGCCCAGGGACGGGAACAGUACGGGACUGACUAUUCUUCAAGUGCGUAAAAUUCUGAGUCUGAUUAGCCGUCCUGACACAGAACGUUACAAAUUGGUACCCAACGCUUAUAAACGUUACAAAACAAAUGCGUAAUCUUGAAUACACAACUAAUUUCUCCUCAACUUACAAUACACCACGCUUUGUUCAAUUUGAGGAAUGAUAAUAUUCACGAAAAGAUCCUGGACAACGAACAGAUAUUAAGACCGUUAGACAUUAACAUAAAUAGCAAAAAACACGUCUGCUUCCAUAAUGGUGCUACUUCAAAAGAUU